ensembl:lncRNA
UAAGGGACGUUUAGAUAGGACACUGAGUUGAAGGAGUUAAAAGGCUGCUUAUCUCUCCGCCAUGCAAGCAUUGGCUUUGCUAGCUGUUUGUGAACCAUGCAAGCCAUAGAACAAAAUAGUUUAGAGCGUAGCACAGCGCACACAGCAUCUUAUCUGAAUGCAAUUUUACACACACAGACACACGCAUACACCAAUCGUUCAGUUAUUUGAAGUGAGGCGUGUCAAAAUGGCCGAACGGCGCUACAAUUAACAUAUACCACUGCUUGGCAAACCAUUUCAUCACCGUUCUGACUCCUAAAAGGAAAGCAAACCAAAUGAUUACGCCUCUCUUUAGGGUUGCUUGAAAUGUCCUUUUUCCAGCAGUCUUUGUCACAACCAUUGGAUGAAGUACACAUUUAACAACCCCAUUGCUUGUUCCCAUUUUGUUUUGUUUUCUCCAAACAAGACCUGUGCUAUUUCAAAUUAAUGUGUCAUGGUCCCCUGACAAAAAGGAGGACUAAAUGUUUGUUUUUGAUUUAUAUAUAUUUUUAGGUACUUAAUAGUGCUUAUUCCGGCCUGAAUGGAAAAUCCAGGUGACUUUAAAGAUACAACGUAUUUUCAAUGUCUUGGGAAAUUCGAGCAGCAAGGAUGAGUAGUGUGGGGUCGAGACAAUGUUGGCAGUCUUCAUACGCGCAACCCAUGAUGGUAGCCUAUAAGGAGGCCACUUCACAACGUUAACCAGUUGAAACGUGUUUCCCAUUGGAUGACUUCCUCAGGAUUUCUGAGGUGUGGUGAUCCAAACAUUUUGGAGUGGAAAGUUUCCCAAGACCCAGCCGGAGUUUGCGAGAUGGAGAUCUGGCUAUGCAAGAUUAAGGUUACAAUGCUAUUGUAGAUGUCAUGUUAUUAAUUUAUUUUUUUUGACAGAUUUGGUGAGACGGGAGAUAAUUCCUUGUACAUUUUAUAUGCACAUCUUAUGUAAAUAUUGAGUAGAGUAUAGUAGGCUGACCCUGCCCCCGAAACGAGCCCGUCAUUUACAUUUAGUGACUCCACCCCCUUUAUAUGUACAGACACCCCCCCUAAAUCCUGACCAAUCCCGAGUCUUUUUACAGCUCACUGACACCACCCAUUCAAUCCCCCCCCCCCCUCAGGUCUUUUGUGUGCAUAUGAGUUUUUGGUGGUCACUUUGAAUCAAAUUCCUUGUUUGUGUAAACUGAGUGUUGGUUGAAAUGCAUUUUUGUAACUACAUUUGAUGGCGCCUGCAUUGAGCAACAUCGCCAAAAGAAUCCAAUCCAAAAAUCCUCUGUCUUCGUGUCCGAGAAGGGCAUUACUUAAAGAGAUUAGGCUGUUCCGUAGGCAGGUCCCGCUCAUUGUUCACCAGGUAACAAAUCCGCCGCUGGGCAACAAUGGAGGCUUUGAGUGACCGACGGCGUAGUGCGGUCAUUUGUUGAAAGGUUUAGCUGUUCCUUGGGUGUAGCAGGAAGGUCCUUUGUGUAUAGCUUUGUCUGCUCUCAGCAGAUUCCCAUGUGUUGUUUAGGAGUGCCCCCCCCCCUCCACCUCCACCACCUCAUAUACUCUGUGACACUUUGUUCUUGUGUGGUCACCCCCUACCCAAACCCCCACGAUUCCUUUUGGUGGACAUGACUUUGCAUCGACCCGAUUCCUAAUGUUGUCUGCCGUUCGUUUUUAGAAGAGGAGAAGGGUGAAAAAUAGAAGAUUACAAAAAGAUAAACAAUCUUGUACAAUGUGUAAAACCUUUUUUUAUUUAUUUAUUUGUUAUUUUUCUGGACUCUUUGGUCUGAUUUCCUUUUGAAUGGUCACUACAGCACUUUCUGUAAAUGGACCAAUAAAAACUUGUUUUAGAAUCUAUAGUCGUGUGUCUCUUGCUUGUGUGAAUUAGUCUGAACGCCACCCUGAUGGGAAGGCUUCUUAAGGCCUGUACACGCUCGGGCGAUCGCAACAGGUGAGCAACGCAACCAGAUGUCUGGCUGUAUGGUCUACAUAAAUGACUGAUUAUUAUUUAAACUAAUAGGCCU